AGGGUUUGAUCAUGGCUCAGAUUGAACGCUGGCGGCAUGCCUUACACAUGCAAGUCGAACGGUAACGCGGGGCAACCUGGCGACGAGUGGCGAACGGGUGAGUAAUAUAUCGGAACGUGCCCAACUGUGGGGGAUAACGUAGAGAAAUUUACGCUUAUACCGCAUACGAUCUAAGGAUGAAAGCGGGGGAUCGCAAGACCUCGCGCAGUUGGAGCGGCUGAUAUCAGAUUAGCUUGUUGGUGAGGUAAAAGCUCACCAAGGCGACGAUCUGUAGCUGGUUUGAGAGAACGACCAGCCACACUGGGACUGAGACACGGCCCAGACUCCUACGGGAGGCAGCAGUGGGGAAUUUUGGACAAUGGGCGAAAGCCUGAUCCAGCAAUGCCGCGUGCAGGAAGAAGGCCUUCGGGUUGUAAACUGCUUUUGUACGGAACGAAACGGUCUGCCCUAAUACGGCGGGCUAAUGACGGUACCGUAAGAAUAAGCACCGGCUAACUACGUGCCAGCAGCCGCGGUAAUACGUAGGGUGCGAGCGUUAAUCGGAAUUACUGGGCGUAAAGCGUGCGCAGGCGGUUAUGUAAGACAGUUGUGAAAUC
rnacentral:rRNA from 1 species